UACCAGCACCCCGAGUGGUCGGGACGAUUAUUGGGCCUAAAGCAUCCGUAGCCGGUUUUACAAGUCCCCCGUUAAAUCCAGCUGCUUAACAGAUGGGCUGCGGAGGAUACUAUAAGACUAGGAGGCAGGAGAGGCAAGCGGUACUCAGUGGGUAGGGGUAAAAUCCGUUGAUCCAUUGAAGACCACCAGUGGCGAAGGCGGCUUGCCAGAAUGCGUUCGACGGUGAGGGAUGAAAGCUGGGGGAGCAAACCGG
rnacentral:rRNA from 1 species